rnacentral:rRNA from 1 species
CACGUAGAAGACUAGUGUUAUUCAUCUUUAUUAGGUUUAAAGGGUACCUAGACUGGAGACCAAGCCAUAAUAGGAACUAGUCUUUUAGAGUUUUAUAAGAGAAGGGGCUGAAUUUCUGGAGAAAAGUUGAUAUUUUGUGAUACUGGAAGGACGGGUAACAGCGAAGGCAACCUUUUAUGUAAAAACUGACGUUGAGGGACGAAGCCUUGGGUAGCGAGAAGG